CGAAACCGAAGUCCCGUAUCCGGAAAGAAUUCAUUCCUAUAUAUGAAGAUGGAAAACUUGCGGAAGGUGCAUCUCAGAAGUCUCAGUGAAGAUGGUUAAACUCUUCUUGAGGCGUAUCUGAAAAGUCUCGGUGAAGAUGGUUGAACUCUUCUUGAGCUACAUGGAAAACAUGUCCUCUUUCUAUGAUGUUGACCUGGAUGAAAGCUGUCCUCUGCAUUUGCAAUCUGUGCUACAUGAUGAACAUGUUAUUUCUUUUUUGUUUGUUUAGUUUUGUGGAUGCUGAACAGAAACUUGAGAGAGAGGUUAUGUUCAGCUCGGUUAUGUAAGCAUGCAGAUACGUGUUGUCCAAGUGGCUCGGCGUUAGCCAGUGAUCGUAUCUAGUGUUAACCAUCGUCUUCCGACAGCAUUCAGUAACUGAAUGUGCGGAGUAUCGUCCAGAACCGCGUCGGAUUCUGCUGGCCUGAUUUUAUGUGUACUAAGCUUGUUCAGCUUAGCUCCCAGACUUUGAUAUUGAUCGCUUGAUGGAGGUCUGGCAAUCCAACUGAGAACCAUUUUGUUUGUGGUGAUGGUAUAA